rnacentral:rRNA from 1 species
AGUGAACGCUGGCGGUAGGCCUAACACAUGCAAGUCGAACGGCAGCACAGUAAGAGCUUGCUCUUACGGGUGGCGAGUGGCGGACGGGUGAGGAAUACAUCGGAAUCUACUUUUUCGUGGGGGAUAACGUAGGGAAACUUACGCUAAUACCGCAUACGACCUACGGGUGAAAGCAGGGGAUCUUCGGACCUUGCGCGAUUGAAUGAGCCGAUGUCGGAUUAGCUAGUUGGCGGGGUAAAGGCCCACCAAGGCGAUGAUCCGUAGCUGGUCUGAGAGGAUGAUCAGCCACACUGGAACUGAGACACGGUCCAGACUCCUACGGGAGGCAGCAGUGGGGAAUAUUGGACAAUGGGCGCAAGCCUGAUCCAGCCAUACCGCGUGGGUGAAGAAGGCCUUCGGGUUGUAAAGCCCUUUUGUUGGGAAAGAAAAGCAGCAGGUUAAUACCCCGCUGUUCUGGCGGUACCCAAAGAAUAAGCACCGGCUAACUUCGUG